rnacentral:rRNA from 1 species
UACGUAGGGGGCGAGCGUUGCCCGGAUUCACUGGGCGUAAAGCGCGUGUAGGCGGUUUGUUAAGUCGGAUGUGAAAUCUCCGGGCUCAACCCGGAAACUGCAUCCGAUACUGGCAGACUUGAGGAUGGUAGAGGUUGGUGGAAUGCCGAGUGUACCGGUGAAAUGGGCAGAUAUCAGGAGGAACACCAAUGGCGAAGGCAGCACUCUGGGACGUGACUGACGCUGAGACGCGAAAGCGUGGGGAGCAAACAGG